rfam:Ictidomys tridecemlineatus contig078633, whole genome shotgun sequence.
GGGGAUAUAGCUCAGUUGGUAGAGUGCUUGCCUUUGCAUGCACAAGGCCCUGGGUUCGAUCCCCACUACCACCA